rnacentral:rRNA from 1 species
GCAGUCGACGAUUAAACUUUCCUUCGGGAAAGAUAUAAAGUGGCGCACGGGUGAGUAACACGUAAGUAAUCUACCUUCGAGUGGGGAAUAACGUCCGGAAACGGACGCUAAUACCGCAUAAUGCAGCGGCAUCGCAAGAUGACAGUUGUUAAAGAUUUAUCGCUUGAAGAGGAGCUUGCGGCAGAUUAGCUUGUUGGUAAGGUAACGGCUUACCAAGGCUACGAUCUGUAUCCGGUCUAAGAGGACGGUCGGACACACUGACACUGAAUAACGGGUCAGACUCCUACGGGAGGCAGCAGUCGGGAAUUUUGGGCAAUGGGGGAAACCCUGACCCAGCAACGCCGCGUGAAGGAUGAAGUAUUUCGGUAUGUAAACUUCGAAAGAAUAGGAAGAAUUAAUGACGGUACUAUUUAUAAGGUCCGGCUAACUACGUGCCAGCAGCCGCGGUAAUACGUAGGGACCAAGCGUUGUUCGGAUUUACUGGGCGUAAAGGGCGCGUAGGCGGCAUUGUUAGUCACUUGUGAAAUCUCCGGGCUUAACUCGGAACGGCCAAGUGAUACUGCAGUGCUAGAGUGCGGAAGGGGCAAUCGGAAUUCUUGGUGUAGCGGUGAAAUGCGUAGAUAUCAAGAGGAACACCAGAGGUGAAGACGGGUUGCUGGGCCGACACUGACGCUGAGGCGCGAAAGCCAGGGGAGCAAACGGGAUUAGA